rnacentral:rRNA from 1 species
GACGAACGCUGGCGGCGUGCCUAAUACAUGCAAGUUGAGCGCUGAAGGUUGGUACUUGUACCGACUGGAUGAGCAGCGAACGGGUGAGUAACGCGUGGGGAAUCUGCCUUAGAGCGGGGGACAACAUUUGGAAACGAAUGCUAAUACCGCAUAAAAACUUUAAACACAAGUUUUAAGUUUGAAAGAUGCAAUUGCAUCACUCAAAGAUGAUCCCGCGUUGUAUUAGCUAGUUGGUGAGGUAAAGGCUCACCAAGGCGAUGAUACAUAGCCGACCUGAGAGGGUGAUCGGCCACAUUGGGACUGAGACACGGCCCAAACUCCUACGGGAGGCAGCAGUAGGGAAUCUUCGGCAAUGGACGAAAGUCUGACCGAGCAACGCCGCGUGAGUGAAGAAGGUUUUCGGAUCGUAAAACUCUGUUGGUAGAGAAGAACGUUGGUGAGAGUGGAAAGCUCAUCAAGUGACGGUAACUACCCAGAAAGGGACGGCUAACUACGUG